rnacentral:rRNA from 1 species
UACGUAGGGUGCGAGCGUUGUCCGGAAUUAUUGGGCGUAAAGAGCUUGUAGGCGGUUUGUCGCGUCUGCUGUGAAAAUCCGGGGCUCAACCCCGGACUUGCAGUGGGUACGGGCAGACUAGAGUGUGGUAGGGGAGACUGGAAUUCCUGGUGUAGCGGUGAAAUGCGCAGAUAUCAGGAGGAACACCGAUGGCGAAGGCAGGUCUCUUGGCCACUACUGACGCUGAGAAGCGAAAGCAUGGGGAGCGAACAGG